rnacentral:rRNA from 1 species
GACGAACGCUGGCGGCGUGCUUAACACAUGCAAGUCGAGCGGUAAGGCCCUUUCGGGGGUACACGAGCGGCGAACGGGUGAGUAACACGUGGGUGACCUGCCCUCAGCUCUGGGAUAAGCCUGGGAAACUGGGUCUAAUACUGGAUAUGACUCCACGGUGCAUGUCGUGGGGUGGAAAGCCUUGUGCGGCUGAGGAUGGGGCCCGCGGCCUAUCAGCUUGUUGGUGGGGUGANGGCCUACCAAGGCGACGACGGGUAGCCGGCCUGAGAGGGCGACCGGGCCACACUGGGACUGAGACACGGCCCAGACUCCUACGGGAGGCAGCAGUGGGGAAUCUUGCGCAAUGGGCGAAAGCCUGACGCAGCGACGCCGCGUGAGGGAUGACGGCCUGGU